rnacentral:rRNA from 1 species
GACGAACGCUGGCGGCGUGCCUAAUACAUGCAAGUCGAACGAGAGCGACCGGUGCUUGCACUGGUCAAUCUAGUGGCGAACGGGUGAGUAACACGUGGGUAACCUGCCCAUCAGAGGGGGAUAACAUUCGGAAACGGAUGCUAAAACCGCAUAGGUCUUCGAACCGCAUGGUUUGAAGAGGAAAAGAGGCGCAAGCUUCUGCUGAUGGAUGGACCCGCGGUGCAUUAGCUAGUUGGUGAGGUAACGGCUCACCAAGGCCGUGAUGCAUAGCCGACCUGAGAGGGUGAUCGGCCACAUUGGGACUGAGACACGGCCCAAACUCCUACGGGAGGCAGCAGUAGGGAAUCUUCCGCAAUGGACGCAAGUCUGACGGAGCAACGCCGCGUGAGUGAAGAAGGUUUUCGGAUCGUAAAACUCUGUUGUUAGAGAAGAACAAGUGCUAGAGUAACUGUUAGCGCCUUGACGUGUAUCUAACCAGA